rnacentral:lncRNA from 1 species
AGAUUUCCUGUAUUCUUGAGAAUUAUUCUGUCAUAGAGGUAAGAGAACCAGACUGAGAGUCAGAAGACCUGAGCUCUAGUUCCAGAAGAAAGAUCUUGGGGAAGUCAUUGCAGGAUCCACCAGGAAGAAAAAAGGAUGCUACUGGCCCAAGGAGAAUGUAGAAACCUGUGGUGUCAACUUGAACCCAACUUUACUACGUAGUGAAGCCCAGCUCCUUCCAGUCAAGUCCGAGGAGCCAUAGUUGGUCACCCAUGAGUAAGAAAAUGAGCGGCAGCUGCCAUAAGCCAAGAAAAAUAUGGUUGGUGUAA